rnacentral:lncRNA from 1 species
CUUUUAUGAAACUCUGCCAGACUCUUCUCUCGUACCUUCUCCCACAGUGGUGCUGAUCGGACACAUUUAUUUUGUGAAUAUCUGGGAUGCCCCUCUCAUGUUUGAUUGAAAAGUCAAAACCAAGGUCUGCCUAGAGUAGUUUCAGCUACUGCCCCUCAGAGCCACUGCUGGAGUGAUUUUUGCCUGACCUUAUGCCUGGAGGAGGAGGCUAAUUUUCUGGAUCUGAUUUUUCCCAAUGACAAUUGAAGCAACAUGCUUUGAAGUCUUCCUACAAGAAAUAGUCCAGCAUAUGUGCCUGUUUCCACUCCAUUUCUCUCUUACCCACUUGAGGACAGUUUGAAUCAUUUUUUAAAGACCUCAGUACUAGACUGUGUUUUAGGUGCAGGUGAUAGAGUACCUGGAUCUGGGAACUUGAGCCAUGGAAAUUCUGGAACUGGGAUUCUAGGCUGGAUAUUGCUGCCAGUUCAGGAAGGAAACUCUGAGAAGCUGGGGUACCUGGAUGGAAGGCCAGGGGAGUUUAGACUUGGAAGUUGGAAGGAACUGAGCUAAACUGUGAAUCUAAUCUCUCCUCCCCAG